CAGCAGGCGCGUAAAUUACCCAAUCCUAAAGCAGGGAGGUAGUGACAAGAAAUACCGACGGGUGACUUAAUGUCGCCCAUUGGAAUGAGGACAAUUUAAAACCCUUACCGAGGAUCAAUUGGAGGGCAAGUCUGGUGCCAGCAGCCGCGGUAAUUCCAGCUCCAAUAGCGUAUAUUAAAGUUGUUGCAGUUAAAAAGCUCGUAGUUGAAUUUCUGGACUCGCCGAGAGGCGGCCUUUGG
rnacentral:rRNA from 1 species